GGGGCUGUAGCUCAGCGGUUAGAGCAGGGGACUCAUAAUCCUUUGGUCGUGGGUUCAAACCCCACCGGCCCUA
rnacentral:tRNA from 1 species